GUGUAAUUAAAACAAAAAAAAAAAUAUGUCAAGUAUGUAUGUGUGUGGUCGAUCGUGAGAAGGCCAGGAGAAAGUUCUCCAUCUCAAAACCCUAAGAUACUAAAUUCCAUCAAAUUGAAAAGGGAGUCAAGGAUUUUUCAAAUGCAUGAGCCAAUAACUUCAACUAUCAAAGUGUUCUUGACAUCUAGAACAAAGAAGGAAGAAGGCGCAAGUCACUCGAAAUCACAAGCAUCUCAAGAUCGCUGUAAAUCCCAGGCUUGAUAGUGGCGCUUUCGGACCGAACACACAAUGUCGACCUUUUUGCAUGCUUCCGGUUCAAGUUGUCAAUUAUGAAUGGGUCAAAGUUUUCAUUUUGUAAUAUGAUGUCAAACUUGGGUUUAGUAUGUUAGUAAGUAGUUUGGAUUUCUAAACUUUUUGUUGUAGUAUGUACAAAAUAGUUAUGGUGAACCUUUUAUGGUCACGACUUUGUUAUUUUGAAAGUGUCGUAGUACUUAACUAAAA